rnacentral:rRNA from 1 species
GGCGGCGCGCUUAACACAUGCAAGUCGAACGAGAAAGGGGAGCAAUCCCUGAGUACAGUGGCGUACGGGUGAGUAACACGUGGAUGAUCUAUCUCUUUGUGGGGAAUAACCCUGGGAAACCGGGGAUAAUACCGCAUAAGCUCGAGAGAGGAAAGCAGCAAUGCGCUGAGAGAGGAGUCCGCGGCCGAUUAGCUAGUUGGCAGGGUAAAAGCCUACCAAGGCAUAGAUCGGUAGCCGGCCUGAGAGGGCACACGGCCACACUGGCACUGAAACACGGGCCAGACUCCUACGGGAGGCAGCAGUGGGGAAUCUUGCACAAUGGGGGCAACCCUGAUGCAGCGACGCCGCGUGAGCGAUGAAGCCCUUCGGGGUGUAAAGCUCUUUCGGCAGGGAAGAUUAUGACGGUACCUGCAGAAGCAGCUGCGGCUAACUACGUGCCAGCAGCCGCGGUAAUACGUAGGCAGCGAGCGUUGUUCGGAGUUACUGGGCGUAAAGGGUGUGUAGGCGGUUGUUUAAGUUUGGUGUGAAAUCUCCCGGCUCAACUGGGAGGGUGCGCCGAAUACUGAAUGACUUCGAGUGCGGGAGAGGAGAGUGGAAUUCCUGGUGUAGCGGUGAA